rnacentral:rRNA from 1 species
UACGAAGGGGGCUAGCGUUGUUCGGAAUUACUGGGCGUAAAGCGCACGUAGGCGGAUUGUUAAGUCAGUGGUGAAAGCCCGGAGCUCAACUCCGGAACUGCCAUUGAAACUGUUUAGCUUGAGGACGAGAGAGGUGAGUGGAAUUCCCAGUGUAGAGGUGAAAUGCGUAGAGAUGUGGAGGAACACCGAUGGCGAAGGCAGCCUCCUGGGCCAACACUGACGCUCAUGCACGAAAGCGUGGGGAGCAAAUAGG